UACAGAGGUCUCAAGCGUUGUUCGGAUUCAUUGGGCGUAAAGGGUGCGUAGGUGGCGCGGUAAGUCGGGUGUGAAAUUUCGGAGCUUAACUCCGAAACUGCAUUCGAUACUGCCGUGCUUGAGGACUGGAGAGGAGACUGGAAUUUACGGUGUAGCAGUGAAAUGCGUAGAUAUCGUAAGGAAGACCAGUGGCGAAGGCGGGUCUCUGGACAGUUUCUGACACUGAGGCACGAAGGCCAGGGGAGCAAACGGG
rnacentral:rRNA from 1 species